rnacentral:rRNA from 1 species
GACAGAAGGUGCAAGCGUUACUCGGAAUUACUGGGCGUAAAGCGUGCGCAGGCGGUGAUGUAAGACAGUUGUGAAAUCCCCGGGCUCAACCUGGGAACUGCAUCUGUGACUGCAUCGCUGGAGUGCGGCAGAGGGGGAUGGAAUUCCGCGUGUAGCAGUGAAAUGCGUAGAUAUGCGGAGGAACACCGAUGGCGAAGGCAAUCCCCUGGGCCUGCACUGACGCUCAUGCACGAAAGCGUGGGGAGCAAACAGG